GCACUAUCCAUGGGGUCCCUCUGGACCGAAGGUGGUUUUUCCAGGAUGAGGCUUAUCUAUUUUACUCUAGAAAUGCUGCCCCUGUGAUUUCUUCAAAUGUAGGAAACAACUGCAUAAUUUGUGGUAGUGAAAGACUGCAUUUGUGCCCUCCCUGA
rnacentral:snRNA from 1 species